UUAACCAAGAUAACUAGUUAGGGUUUUGAGGAUCUUCCUCAUGCAUCCCUCUGAUCAUGUUUCUCUGCUGCUCAAAAAUUUUGUCCCUUUCCCUUCAUAUAAAGUGUAUACAUCUUACCCAGUCACUGGUGACCAUCAGACUCUCAAAAAUCUUUUUGGCUUUUUGUCCUAGUCAUAACUCUUUGCCUAACCUAUUAUUUCCAGCAAACUGAACCACUCACUACUUAAUGUGCUGCACUUUCAUCAUUGCACCUUUUGCUAAACUGUCAUCCUUGAAGCCUAUUGCUGCCUAUUGCAUGACGCUUUACUUAAUGGCCUCAGAAUAACAUAGCUAUUUAUGUUUUGAGUGGAUUAAAAAAUUUCUUUCUCUCCACAUUGGAUUAGAGUUCACUAUGUUCAUUUUCUAUCUUCUUUACUAGACCGAGAGCUCACUGGCCAGGUCCUAUUCAUGCUUAUUCAUUCUGAAUUUCUCCAUACUGGAGGCAUCCAGUGCAUGAAUGAACACAUGGAUAAAACUUGGUGUUGAAACUCCCAGCUAUAUUGACCUGCAACUUGACACACUCAAGUAUAUAAAAUUGGGAUCAAAUAAAUAUUAUUAUAUGUCUACUACUUGUUCCCCAGAGACCAAUGAGAAAGAAUGUGGCAGCAUCUGUAAUUGUCAGAAUGGAGGCACCUAUGAUCUUCUGACUGGGCAGUGCCAGAGCCCCCCAGGGGUUCAUGGGAAAACUUGUAAAGACGGAAGGAAGGAUGGCCAAAAGGGUUCUUUUGGAAGAACUGCAAAAGGAAAUGUAACUGUGCCAACAAUGGCCGUUGCCACAGGAUGUAUGGCACCCGUAUGUGUGAGGUGGUUUUGUCAUCUGCGUAACUUGCAGGCAAUUAAUUUGCUCUGUGCGUAAAACAUGAAAGCACAGAAAAGUGCAGAGACUACUGUCACACAAAGGAAGAGGGUGACCGCUUUGCCUCAAUUUGCUUGCACACUGUCCCAAGGGUGCCUACGGAGCUGGCUGCACUUCAGAAUGUCAGUGUGUGGAGAAGAAUACCCUGGAAUGCAGUGCCAAAAAUGGUAGUUGCACCUGCAAAUCUGGUUACCAAGGCAACAGAUGCCAGAAAGGUAUGCUCUGAUGAUAGAGUUUUUUUCUUCUCUAAUAAUAAUCCUCAGCCUUUGUUCAGCAUCAUAUGAUUAUUAAUUAGUUAAUCCACCAGUGCCCUCAGAAGAUGGAUAAGCUCUAUUAAUCCCCUAUUUACAGGUGAGGAAACUGAGACAUAGGGCAAUAAAGUUAUUUAAUGCAGUCUUCUUAGCCUCUGCUGCUUCCUGUCCCCUUGUUAGCUUGAGCAAGGGAAGAAAGAUCACACUGCAGAUAAUUAUAUCCAGAAAGAUUAAAGCUAGGCAACCACUUCUUUGAACUGAACUAAUCAACCCAAGGCACUACCAACUUCCAGAAUUAGAAUUAUUUUAUUUAUAUCUAAGGAUUGAUCAUUCAAACAAAUGUAAUUCAAAGAUGCUAAUGCUUAACCAUAGAAAAACUUUGAAAAUUUUUAAUAUGGUUAUUGGUGUUUUGGUUUUCCAAAUUUGUAGGUAUUACUUUUUUUUUUUCUUUCUCUUUUUCUUUUCUUUUUUUUUUUUUUUUUUUUUUUUGAGAUGAUGUCUCACUCUGUCGCCCAGGCUGGAGUCCAAUGGCACAAUCUCGGCUCACUGCAAGCUCCGCCUCCCAGGUUUAUGCCAUUCUCCUGCCUCAUUCUCCCGAGUAGCUGGGACUACAGGCGUCCGCCACCACACCUGGCUAAUUUUUUUUGUAUGUCUAGUAGAGACAGGUUUCACUGUGUUAGCUAGGAGGGUCUCGAUCUCCUGACCUUGUGAUCCACCCGCCUCGGCUUCCCAAAGUGCUGAGAUUACAGGCGUGAGCCACCGCGCCCAGCCUACAUUUUUUAUAAAUAUAAAAGUUAUUGUAUAGUACAAUUACAAGUAACAUAUAUAGAUAUAUAUGUGUGUGUGUGUAGAUGCAUAUGCCAUUUGGAAAAAGGUAUUCCAAGAUGCCAGUAUUGACUGUCUCUGACUUUAUGCAUUCAUGGGAUGCUCUUUGCUAGGUACCUAAGUAGCUCUUUCACAUUUCGAAAAGUCUCAUGUUACUUUUUUACUGAAUUUUAUCAGUACUACCCUACUUAAAACUGUAACUUGUAAGUUUCCCAACUUUUUUCUUUUUCUAUAGUGCUUGUCAUUUUCUAAUAUAGCACAUACUCUAAUUAUGAUGUCAAAUAUUUAUUGCCUGUCUUUUCCUGCUAUGAUCAGAACCCCAUGAGUGAAGGGUAUCUAAAAAUUUUGUUCAACCAAGUAUCCCCAAACUCCUGAAACAGUCCUGAUAUACAGAUAUUGCUCAAUAAAUAUUUUCUUAAUACAUAAAUGUGCAUUUUUAUUCUUUAUACAUUUUUAUUGUAUUAUCAUGUAUUUUGCAUUAAGCACUUAUUACUAUAUUUCAGAGGAAAAUAUCACAGCAUUUUUUCCCUUUAGUACAACCUUGUGUAAAAUCAGAAGGAAAUAAUAGGUUUGAAAGGAAACCAUCAUCUCAUUGGGGCCACUUAUAGAGGCAGGCGCUAGGAUUGAAAAUGGUCUUUGACACUCACAUAUCCUCAUUUUCUCCUUGCAAUGCCAUCUUCAGAGAGUCUGCAGGGCUUUUCUGGAGCUGAAUGGACAGGGCAGUUUCUCUGUUCCAGGUUGUCUAGUGGUUAUAGAACUGGAGAGGGUGAGCAGUGAUGUCCAUCUAGAUUUCAUGGACAGAGGUUACUUAGGUAGCUGGAUUGUGACUUUCUAGGCAUUAGGGAAAGGAAGUUGGGGAAAUCAAAGCCUAACAUGACACUAACAAGUUUAAUGUGGUAUGAGAGUAGGUGCCAUGACAAUUUCUAAACAUCUUCGUGCUUCAACUGAUUUUUAAGCCCAGAGUCAGCCCCUUAUUCAUUUUCCCCCUAGAGAAGUCAUGCCCUGGAAGUCAAUGUAUGAGGAGACAAUGGCAUAUAACAAACCUGGGUAAACUUAAUUUAUUCUGAUAACAUUUUCUUAAAGCAGCUGCUGAAUAUACUUUAUUGGAAAAUGCUUCUGAGAUUCCCACUGUGAAGAAAAAUGAGUUGAAAGUAUAUGUAAAUUAGCAAAAUAGAGAGGUCACUAUAAUCUCUGGAAAACAUGUUAUUUUUCAAUCAGAUAACUUUGUCCAAUUCUGAUAUUUUUGUCUAACCACAAAAUGAAAUUAUGAAUCAGACUGCUGCAGGUGAAUGUGGUUGCUGUGAUUGGCAGUUGAAAUCAAGGCAAAAAGAGCUCUCCAAGAGUUGUGCAUGAUGAAAAUCAGGCCCGUUGUUUUUCUUUCUCUUUUUUAAAAGGGUGAAGUAGCCCAAGUGCUCCUAGAGACAGACAUAUCUUUAAAAAUCUUAACUCCAAACCUGUGUCUAGAUUGCAGAUGAAUAGUUAAUUAAAGACUGGAAAUUGUUUCAAUGGCACUAAUGAACAGUAUUCUCCGCAAUCAGCACCAGGCCUUAUUUAGCUUAUCACUAAUGACUUCUAAGAACAGAAGAAAUGGUUUCUACAACUAACCUGUGAAAUAGCAAAAAAAAAAAAAAAAAAAAAAAGAAAGAAAGAAAGAAAAAAGUAAAGCAGCUGGUGUCUUUGCCUUGUUUAGAGCAGUUUGUAGCCUAGGGUAUUUUGCAUGCCCACUCCUGGCAGACCUCAGAAUGUAGAGGACUCUGGUCCAGCUGGCCCCUUGACACCAUACGACCCCUGGAUCAUGAUAAGAAAGACAGAUUUUUUUUUUUAGAGUUCCACAUCAGAUGAACUUCGAAUUUUGAACUCUGGUGAAUCUUUAAGAGCAGAUUAACUGGCCUGAAAGAUGCUGAGUACCUAGUAUUGUAGAGUAAAUUUGGGUGUAGUGGCUGAGAGCACCAGUUUCGGAGACCAGAAGAUCUGGGUUCAAGCUUUGUGAUAUAGAGUAAGUCACUUAACUUGUGGGAGCCUCUGUUUCUCAUAUAAAAUGGAAAUAAAUUUGCUUAUGCCAUAGGGUUCUCUUUUGGAAAUAUGAGCUACUUUACAUAAAGUGCUUAACAGAGUUAGUAAUCAACAGAUUGGGUAUGAAUAUCCCAGAAAAUAUUGUAAUUCUGUUAUUCAGAGACACUGCCAGGACAAGAAGAUACCUCACAGCCCAACUCGAUUUGAUGUAACUUUUCAUAAGUGUUAUAUUUUUAAGAAAGUUCCACCGUUUUCCUUGGAAUAAAAAAAAAAAAAAUGCUUUCCACCGGGUUUCUAAUUCCAGUGGUUUCUAUGGAAGAACACACAUGGAAACCUCUCACUGAGCCCUCAGUGGUCCCUGCAGCAUCACCUGUCCUUUGCUAGUUCAAAGAACAGUCAACAAAGCAGAUCACUGUUUCUCUUCUCCCACCUUAUGCAUUGUACACUGUCAUAAAGUACACAGUUUGUAAACCUCUGGUGUGAUUAUUUUAGCUCACAAAAGAAGCAAAGUCUGGGAUAACAGGAUUUAGGCAACCAUUUGAGGGCAACUUCCUGAGUGCCACGCCUCCUGAGCUUCCUUUACAAAUUACAUCUCAUUUUCCGUUUUUGUUCUGUGCAACUGCUGCUAAAGAUAUAUAUCAAAAUUGCUUCCAUUGUUACUGUCUGAAAAACCACAUUUUCAGCAAAAAGCCAACCUCUGUAUCUGUGUUUUCAAAGUGACAAGAUAUAGCAUCAUGUUGAUUUCUUCAGGGAAUACUUUUGGAAGUGUUAUAAAUCCUUGGAGGCUACUAGGAUAUUUCUUUCCUUACAGCUCUGUCAUACACACACACACACACACACACACACACACACACACACUUUGCCAGCUUGGUUAGGCAACAGUAGAAAUCUUGGACCAUUUUGAGACUUCUUACAAGUUUCUUUCUUUCUCUCUCUUUUUGUUUUAUAAGUCUGCCCAGAUGGCCUCUGGGGACCAGAGUGCUGGUUCUCCUCUGCACCCUGUGAAAAUGGAGGUCAGUGCAACAACAACAAAAAACUGGAAAUUGUGACUGCACUCCUGGUUACACAGGAAAAUCCUGUACCAUAU
rnacentral:lncRNA from 1 species